UUUCCGUAGGUGAACCUGCGGAAGGAUCAUUAUUAUAUAACCGAGAUGCAAUGUCUGUCGCUGACCCGAACGGUCAUGCACGCUAGAGUUCCCUCACACUCAUCCAUCUCACCCCUAUGUGCACUACCGCGUGGAUCCUCCUAUGGCUUUGUCGGAGGGGGUCUUACGUUUUCACACAUUCAUUUAGUGCUCAGCAGAAUUUAUUUUUUUUUUUUUCAAUACCGCAAUCAAAACGACUAUCAACAAGGGAACUCUUAGCGCUCACAUCGAUUAAGAACC
rnacentral:misc_RNA from 1 species